rnacentral:misc_RNA from 1 species
ACCAGCGACACAAAAAGAGCCAAUUCCAACGCUCUUCGAGGUGGGAGCUAUUAUCUCAUUUUUUUUUUGAGCACGGAAAGGGAAAACAAAUAAGUUUGUUCGCAGCGCUCGCUUCGCAUUCAGUUGCCUUUUUUGCUCGUUACGAGCCGGUUGUCCGUCGAUUUGAAGUGCUCGCCGCUGACCUCCAUCCAAAAACCGAUCCGAUCCCAACCGCUACGGCUCGUUUCGAUUCUAUUCACUCCGAUCAGAGCCGAAUCGUUUGAAUCGCAGCGAGUUUUUCUCUACGUAGAGUUACCACAUUGCCCGAUAUAGUCUAUAUAGCCCAGUUGCACGUGGAGGAGGUUGCCGAGCAGACGAGUGACCAUGGCGACGGAUACAAGCUCGCCGAUGGACAGAUUCUGCGGAUCCACAUUCUGGAACGCGACGGAGACAUGGUGGACCAAAGAUCCGGACUUCACGCCGUGCUUUGAGCAGACGGCCCUGGUCUGGACACCGUGCGCCUUCUACUGGGUGUUCGUGAUCUUUGACUUCUACUACCUGAAGGCCAGUCUGGACAGGAAUAUACCGUGGAACAAGCUGAACGUGAGCAAAGCGCUGGUGAAUCUGGGUCUGCUGGUGAUCACUGCCCUGGACCUGAUUAUGGCCCUGAUCAAGAAGGGCGGCGACUCCGAGCUGCCCCUCUACGACCUGGAUAUCUGGGGUCCCAUCAUCAAGUUCGCCACCUUCCUGUUGCUCUUCAUAUUCAUCCCGUUGAACCGGAAGUACGGCGUGCAGACCACGGGGUGUCAGUUCAUCUUCUGGUUCCUGCUUACCGUGCUGUCGAUUCCCCGCUGCCGCACCGAAGUUCGCCUGGACUCGGAGCGACAGAAGAUUCUGGAUUCGCAGCAGCCCUCGGACCAGGACUUUUCGUGGGAGGAGUACCAGUUCGUUAGCUUCUUUAUCUUCUUCACCUUCACCAGCAUCAUGCUGAUCCUGAACUGCUUUGCGGACGGAUUGCCCAGGCAGACCAAGUACCAGAGGGGUGAGAACGAGAUUCCCGAGCUGUCAGCCAGUUUCCUUUCCAGGAUCACCUAUAUGUGGUUCGACAAAAUGGCCCUCAAGGGCUAUCGCAACCCACUGGAGGAGAAGGAUCUUUGGGACCUGAGGCCCCAGGACAGCUGCUCCGAGGUCAUGCCCAUCUUCGCCCACCACUGGAACCAGAACGUGCGCAAGAACUACAGGAACAAGGCCCGCGUAGAACCCAAGGCCCAGUUUAGCAAUGGCAAUGUGACUUUUGAAAAUCCUCAUGGAGAGAAGAAUGGUCGGAAAAAAGGCAUGGCCAGUAUUAUGCCGCCAAUUUACAAGUCCUUUGGAGGCGUCUUUUUGUUCGGCGCCCUGAUGAAGUUGUUCACCGACGUCCUCACAUUUGCCCAGCCCCAAGUCCUGAGUUUGAUCAUCAGCUUCGUUGAGGCCCAAGAAGCCGAGCCCGAAUGGAAGGGUAUCUUAUACGCUGUCCUACUUUUCGUUUUGGCCGCUGCCCAGACCUUUAUUCUGGGUCAGUACUUCCACCGCAUGUUCAUUGUGGGCCUGCGAAUCAGGACAGCUUUAAUCAACGCCAUCUACCGCAAGGCCCUGCGCAUUUCGAACUCCACCAAAAAGGAGUCCACCGUGGGCGAGAUCGUCAACCUGAUGGCCGUGGAUGCCCAGCGAUUCAUGGAACUGACCACCUACCUGAACAUGAUCUGGUCCGCGCCCCUGCAGAUCGCCCUGGCCCUGUAUUUCCUCUGGCAGCAACUGGGACCCUCUGUGCUGGCCGGUUUGGCUGUGAUGAUUAUCCUGAUUCCUGUGAACGGUGUGAUUGCCAGUCGCAUCAAGACCUAUCAGAUCAGACAGAUGAAGUACAAAGAUGAGCGUGUCAAGUUGAUGAACGAAGUACUGAGUGGCAUUAAGGUGCUGAAGCUGUACGCCUGGGAACCGAGUUUCGAGAAGCAAGUGUUGGAUAUCCGUGACAAGGAGAUUGCGACGCUGCGAUCCACUGCCUAUUUGAACGCGGGAACUUCGUUUUUGUGGUCCUGUGCCCCCUUCCUGGUUUCAUUAGUUACAUUCGCCACUUACGUUUUAAUCGAUGAAAAUAACGUGCUUGAUGCCACCAAAACCUUUGUCUCAUUAUCAUUAUUCAACAUUCUACGAUUUCCGCUAACAAUGUUGCCCAUGCUGAUCACCAACCUGGUGCAAACGCAAGUUUCCGUGAAUCGUAUCAAUAAGUUUCUGAACAGUGAGGAACUGGAUCCCAACAGCGUUCUCCACGACUCCUCCAAACCCCACCCUAUGAGCAUUGAGAAUGGCGAGUUCUCUUGGGGCGAUGAGAUCACGCUGCGCAAUAUUAAUAUCGAGGUGAAGAAGAACAGCCUGGUGGCCCUGGUUGGCACGGUCGGUUCCGGCAAGUCGUCUGUAGUGCAGGCUUUCCUCGGUGAAAUGGAGAAACUUGCGGGCGUUGUCAACACUGUGGGCAAGUUGGCCUAUGUACCGCAGCAGGCUUGGAUUCAGAAUGCGACGGUGAGGGACAACAUCCUGUUUGGUCAGACGUACGACCGAAAGCGCUACAACAAGGUUAUCGACGCCUGUGCCCUGCGUGCCGAUAUCGACAUCCUGUCGGCUGGAGAUCUCACGGAAAUCGGUGAGAAAGGCAUUAAUUUAUCAGGUGGCCAGAAGCAGCGCAUCUCGUUGGCCCGUGCUGUGUACAGCGAUGCCGAUCUGUAUCUGCUGGAUGAUCCUCUGAGCGCCGUGGACUCACAUGUGGGCAAGCACAUCUUUGAGGAGGUUAUCGGACCCAAGGGUAUACUGGCACGGAAAUCCCGCGUGCUGGUCACCCACGGCGUCACUUUUCUGCCCCAGGUGGACAGCAUCUAUGUGAUGAAAAUGGGCGAAAUUAGCGAAAGCGGUACAUUCGACCAACUGGUCAAAAACAAGGGCGCCUUCGCCGACUUCAUUAUCCAGCAUCUGCAGGAUGGCAACGAAGAGGAGGAGGAGCUUAACCAGAUCAAGCGUCAGAUCUCCAGCACCGGAGAUGUCCCUGAGCUGUUAGGCACUGUCGAAAAGGCCAUUAAGUUGGCGCGCACGGAAAGCUUGUCCGAUUCCAUUUCGGUUACAUCUGCUGAUAGUUUGAUGGGCGGAGGAGGAAGUCUCCGCCGGCGAACAAAGCGACAAGACUCCCACGAUUCCGUUGCCUCUGCCGCUUCCCUGAAAAAGAAGCAGGAGGUACAGGGCAAACUGAUUGAAACUGAGAAAUCGCAGACUGGUGGCGUGGAGUUCGCAGUGUACAAGCACUACAUCAAGAGUGUUGGCAUCUUCCUAUCGGUUGCCACAUUGGUACUCAACUUUGUAUUCCAAGCUUUCCAAAUCGGCUCGAAUCUGUGGCUGACUCAAUGGGCGAACGAUCAAAAUGUCGCCAACGACACUGGCCUCAGGGACAUGUAUCUGGGUGUUUAUGGUGCCUUCGGAUUUGGCCAAGGUUCUGGCUACCAUUGUGGUUAUUAGUCUGUCCACGCCGAUUUUCCUGGCCGUGAUCGUGCCCAUCGCCUUCCUGUACUACUUCGCCCAGCGCUUCUACGUGGCUACUUCGCGGCAGCUGAUGCGUCUGGAAUCCGUCUCCCGGUCACCAAUCUACUCGCACUUCAGCGAAACUGUCACCGGAGCAUCGACUAUUCGUGCCUACAAUGUGGGUGAUCGUUUUAUUGAGGAAUCCGAUGCCAAGGUGGACAAGAACCAGGUUUGCAAAUACCCGUCCGUGAUUGCCAACCGAUGGCUGGCCAUUCGUUUGGAGAUGGUGGGCAAUCUGAUUAUUCUGUUCGCAUCGCUCUUCGCCGUCCUGGGAGGACAAACCAAUCCCGGCCUGGUGGGCCUGUCGGUAAGCUACGCCCUGCAGGUGACCCAAACCCUCAACUGGUUGGUGCGCAUGUCAUCCGACAUUGAGACGAAUAUCGUGUCCGUGGAGCGCAUCAAGGAGUACGGCGAGACCAAGCAGGAGGCUCCCUGGGAGCUGGAGCAGGACAAGAACAAGCCGAAGAACUGGCCGCAGGAGGGACGCGUUGAGUUCCAGAACUUCCAGGUGCGCUAUCGCGAAGGCUUGGACCUGGUGCUGCGCGGUGUUAGUUUCAAUAUCAAGGGUGGCGAGAAGGUUGGCAUCGUUGGUCGCACGGGUGCCGGUAAAUCCAGUCUCACAUUGGCCUUGUUCA